rnacentral:rRNA from 1 species
GACGAACGCUGGCGGCGUGCCUAAUACAUGCAAGUCGUACGAAUUGAUUGAAGAGCUUGCUCUUCAUGACGUUAGUGGCGAACGGGUGAGUAACACGUGGGUAACCUGCCCUUCAGUGGGGGAUAACAUCCGGAAACGGGUGCUAAUACCGCAUAGUUUCUUUUUCCGCCUGGAAGAAGAAGGAAAGACGGCCUUUGUGCUGUCGCUGAGGGAUGGACCCGCGGCGUAUUAGUUAGUUGGUGGGGUAAUGGCCUACCAAGACGAUGAUACGUAGCCGACCUGAGAGGGUGAUCGGCCACAUUGGGACUGAGACACGGCCCAA